rnacentral:rRNA from 1 species
ACUGCUCAGUAACACGUGGCUAACCUGCCCUCGGGACGAGAACACCCCCGGGAAACUGGGGCUAAUUCUCGAUAGGCGAAGAACUCUGGAAUGAGUCUUCACCCAAAAGACGCUUAGAUCAUGCUUCUAGGCUUCGCCCAAGGAUGGGGCCGCGACCGAUCAGGUUGUUGGUGAGGUAAUGGCUCACCAAGCCUUUAACCGGUGCGGGCCGUGGGAGCGGGAGCCCGGAGAUGGGCACUGAGACAAGGGCCCAGGCCCUACGGGGCGCAGCAGUCGCGAAAACUUUGCAAUAAGCGAAAGCUUGACAGGGCUAUCCCGAGUGCCAUCCGCUGAGGAAGGCUUUUACCCAGUCUAGUAAGCUGGGAGAAUAAGGAGAGGGCAAGUCUGGUGUCAGCCGCCGCGGUAAUACCAGCUCUCCGAGUGGUGUGGAUGUUUAUUGGGCCUAAAGCAUCCGUAGCUGGCUGAGUUAGUCCCCUGUUAAAUCCACCGAAAUAAUCGUUGGAUUGCGGGGGAUACUGUUCGGCUAGGGGACGGGAGAGGCAGACGGUAUUUUCGGGGUAGGGGUGAAAUCCUAUAAUCCCGGGAAGACCACCAGUGGCGAAGGCUGUCUGCUAGAACGCGCCCGACGGUGAGGGAUGAAAGCUGGGGUAGCGAACCGGAUUAGAUACCCGGGUAGUCCCAGCUGUAAACGAUGCAGGCUAGGUGUUUGGGCGGCCACGUGCCGCUCUAGUGCCGCAGGGAAGCUGUUAAGCCUGCCGCCUGGGGAGUACGAUCGCAAGAUUGAAACUUAAAGGAAUUGGCGGGGGAGCAC